UUCCAAUGGACGAGGUACGUGUACCUCGUCCAGCAGAAGGGUUUCCUUCCGCUGGACGAGGUACAUGUACCUCGUCCAAGCGGAA
rnacentral:miRNA from 1 species